GAGAGACUAAGAAAGAAUAUAUUAGUUACAGUCUGUGGAAGUUUAUUUACAUAAAGAAAGCCAAUUUCCCUUGUUGACAAUAUGACUUUUAUGCCUGGCGGCAACUCGGAUCUUAUGUUCUUUAGAUGCCCAGCUUAUCUGCCAGUUGUCUGGCUGUAAAAGUAAGAGGGUAGUUCACAACUCUGAAAGCCGAAGACGAAGCGAGGAAGGCAGCUACAGAGCAGCAGAUAAGGA
rnacentral:lncRNA from 1 species